AAGAAUAUAGUAUAAUGGUAUAACAAUUGAUUUCAAAUCAAUCGAUAGGAGUUCGAAUCUCUUUAUUCUUG
rnacentral:tRNA from 1 species